GUCUACAGCCAUGCCACCCUGAACAAGCCCAAUGUCUGAUCUCAGAAGCUAAGCAGAGUCAGGCCUGUUUAGUACUUGGAUGAGAGAUCACCUAGGAAGGACAGGUGCUGUAGGCA
rnacentral:rRNA from 1 species